rnacentral:rRNA from 1 species
UACGUAGGCAGCAAGCGUUGUUCGGAGUUACUGGGCGUAAAGAGUCUGUAGGCGGUGCUCUAAGUUUGGUGUGAAAUCUCCCGGCUUAACCGGGAGGGUGCGCCGAAGACUGGGGUGCUGGAGUCUGGGAGAGGAAAGCGGAAUUCCGUGGUGUAGCGGUGAAAUGCGUAGAUAUCAGGAGGAACACCGGUGGUGUAGACGGCUCUCUGGACCGUAACUGACGCUGAGGCACGAAAGCGUGGGUAGCAAACAGG